UUUUAUGUUAUUUUUUAGAUUUGUAAGCAAGUAAACAGCUAAUGUGAAAAUGUUGAUGUCUAUUCUAAGCACUCCUUACGUAUCUGAUAUUUUAUCUUACUGACAUCUUAUUUCCCUGCUAAAUAGAUGUUGUACAAUAUAUUAGGAAGCUCCUGACAGAACAGGAAGAGAAGAGAGGCGAGAAGACUGCCACAUAGGAAAGGAAAGCUAAGCACAUGUUCUGUCAGUACCACUGCAGAUGUAACGGGCGCUCUAGCAGCCUCCAGUCACCCUUCAGAGAUGUUAGUCCUGCUGUGAGAAGAAUGUACCUCUGGAGACUACAAAGUUCCAAAAGUUUAGACUAAAACAAACUUAAACAUCCCUCAAAGAGUAACUAGGUUUUCAGAAACAAAUACAUUUUCACUGCUGCAACCCCACCUGUAUGUUCAGAAAAAAACAAUGGACAAAUGGGAACAAGGUAACUGUCAAAUUGUACAGGUGAACUCUUCAAAAUGCAGCCACUCCCUCUGCUGGCUGACGGGAAGAAGAGUGGCGGAAAGCUGCAGCGCCAUCUUGUCCCAAGCUCAGCACUAGACCUCAGGAACCCAAACCAUGGGAAGCAGCAGGGGCAGAAAAAGAGGAGCACCGGUGCAUACAGAGCAGCCGCUCAGGCGGGGUGGAGAGGGAUCCCCACGGCCUGUGAAGUGAUGGGGUCAGGCACUCUGGAGUACAGACCAUGGACCACAGCAGUGGUGGUGCGAAGUGAGAAACAGGCCAGGGAGGUUGCUUCCCCACCCUCUCCCUCAGUCUCCUAGCACUCACUUUCAGCCAUGGCACAAAGAGGGCAGCCUCUUUGGCCUGCACCCCCUGGGAGAGAGCGGCAGGGAACCCAGCUUCUCCAAGGGAAGCGGCAGGCAGGAAGCAGCCUCUGGCUCAGUGCAGAGGCUCACUCCCCCUGAGAGAAAAUCGCCCCUCUCAAGAAUUUGCUUCUGGUAAGCUCCCCAAAUAAGGGAAUUUUGGCUGGGGCCGCGCUAACAGCACCUCGAGGCCUGAGCUGCAUGGGUCUUCCACUGCAGUGUCAUUCUCAUCCAUCAGUUGCCCUCGUGCCACACAUAAGGCACCUCGAAUGGCAGAGAGGGCAUGCUUAGGGCCAGCCUUUGGGGUCCCGGAUCCCCAGCUGGCUGCCCAGGCCCCGAGUCUGCCCCACCUACAGGGUUCUAAGGCAGCAGGCUAGAUCUUUAGUGGCUAUAGACUUCUGGCCCCCUGUAUAGCUCCACCAUUGCUGCUGCCACGGGUCUCACACUUAGUGAUGGCUCCAUAGGUGAGGCCAACCCUAAGGAGGGGGUGGCUGCAGGUGCCCCUUUCCCCUUGGUCAGUACACAGAGGGUGCAGGAAUCUAGUGCUGCACUCAGACAGGGACUCAUACUGUUCAGUGACUCCCAGCAGCAAGGGGCAUGGACAGAGAGGCACUCACUCAGUUUGGCCGUGGAGAAGAGCCCCAGACGAGGAGCCACACAGACUCUGCACGCCAUUAGGUCUUACUUCCUGGCUCCAUUUGUUACCUCCUGGCUCCUAGCUCCUGGCUCUGCUGGUUAGCUCCUGGUUGGCUCGCCAAAACUAUUGCCAUACAGUGUGGGGGUCAGCAGUCUUUUCAUGGCUCUUGUUGUCCCACUCAAAGAAUAGGACAGGAAAAACCAAUGAAUAUGAAAGUUUAACUUUUAUUAAAGAUUAAAGAAGAAAAGAAAUAGAAGUGAAAAGAAAGAAAAUAUGUCCUGCAUGCAGAGCAGGUUACUUGAAGAGUAAGAAGACAGUGGCCAUAAGGCCAAUGCUACUGUCUUUUAUAUCCUCCUUCUGGCCCUUUGGAAGCUGUUUCGUGCCAUAAUUUGUCAGCUCUCCAUGAUUGGCAGGGUACAUCCUAUCAUCCAGCCUCCUUUCUGUGUCCUAAUUUCCUGCCUCAAUCUUGUUACUACCCUUGAAUCAAAUGGAUAAGUUUUUCAAGGAUGUCUAUUUUGGAAAGGAGAAGAGUUUGCCUGAAAAAAGAACAUUCAAGGAGUGAUAAAUUUUAAUCACUCCCUGAUUUUCUUGUCCCCUCUAGCUAUCCCAGUCUUGGAACCAUCACAACAAAAUGGCACUGCCUUUCACAAACCUGGUCCUUUCACCAUCCUUUUAUUCUCUUUCUCACUUCCUUCAUCCAAUGUUGUUGUUUUCAAAAUAUAGUAGACUCUGCUCUUAAAACACUUCUGAUCUGUCUUCUUGUCUUCUUAUGCACUCCUCACACAGGAUUGGCCCCUACCCCUCAGAAACUCCCCAUACAUAAGCGUACAGGUUGUUCAUUACUUCCUGGACAUCUUGAGGUAAACAGGUCUCCUUCACCUCAUACUCCUCCAUGAUGUGCUGAUCUGCCACAGGUUCAAAUAAACAAGACCAAGUGACCAUGGACUGAAGCCUCUGAGACUGAGAGCGGUGCCACCUUGCCCUCGCAUAAACACCAAAUCCUCAUGGGGCACAUAGGCCAAUAUCUGGACUGUCUGGGGAUCAUAAAUAAUACUGAGUCUCACUGUCAAAGAACUGGACACUGGGACAAAAAAGCUGCAAGCCCUAACAGAGAAGCCAAGCAAACAAAAAAUGAGAAAACAAAGCAACAAAAAUGGCUUUUAAAACUCCCAACUCCCCUAAAGCCAGCCCAAGGGGGUAUAAGGGUAGAAAAUCAUAAGUCACACAGCAGAAAUGCCUGAAAGGCAUCAAUGGAAAUAACAAAACAGUUCAAAAAAGUUCAGUGAAUUCAAAUAUAUAUAUAACUAAACAGAUAAUGACCCAAAUGAAAUAAAUUAUCAGCAAUCCUAGAGAAGACAGUAAUAAAAAUCUAGUGGAGCUAAAGAAAGAAAUGCAAAACAUGAAUUUCCAGCAUAGACAAGAAUGGCACUCCACAAAAAAGUUUCAAGUAGAAAUCCAGGAGAUUGAAAGUAUGAUUGGAUGUCUAGGCAGCAGAAGAGACCAAUAUGAGGACAGAGUCUCAGAUCUAGAAGACAGGACUGUGGUUAGUGGUCAAUUAAUGAAAGAUAUAUUACAAACAAGAGAAGAUGAAAAAUGGAUCCAACAGCUGCUAGAUGACUCAAAGAAGAUUAAUAUAAAAGUAACCAGAAUUAAUGAAAAAUCAGAAGAUAGCACCCGUUUACAGAAGUAAUAUCAGAAAACUUUCCAGACAUGGAAAAAGAAUUUAACAUACAAAUGUGUGAGAUAUAUAGAGCUCCUAAUAGUCAUGAUCAGGAAAAAAACACCCUGCACCACAUAAUAAUUAAAAUAUCAGAAAUCUAACAUAAGAACAGAAUCUUGAAAGCUGUUAGAGAAAAGCAACAAAUUACGUAUGAAGAAAAACCCAUCAGAAUUACAACAUGUUUCUCAACAUGAACCUUAAAGGCAAGGAGCGCUUGGAAUGAAGUGCUUCAAGCCCCCAAAGAAAACUCCUGCCAUCUUUCAAAAUGAUGGGGAAAUAAGACAUUUCCACGAUAAAGAACACCUAAAGAAAUUCAUGGCCACCAAACCAACACUCCAAAA